rnacentral:snRNA from 1 species
AUUUGGAUUGAUAUAUUAAUUUU